rnacentral:snRNA from 1 species
ACCAGUCUUGGCAGCUGC